UACGGAGGAUCCAAGCGUUAUCCGGAUUUAUUGGGUUUAAAGGGAGCGUAGGUGGACAUAUAAGUCAGUUGUGAAAGUUUGCGGCUCAACCGUAAAAUUGCAGUUGAUACUGUAUGUCUUGAGUGUACUGGAGGUGGGCGGAAUUCGUGGUGUAGCGGUGAAAUGCUUAGAUAUCACGAAGAACUCCGAUUGCGAAGGCAGCUCACUAUAUUACAACUGACACUGAGGCUCGAAAGUGUGGGUAUCAAACAGG
rnacentral:rRNA from 1 species